rnacentral:rRNA from 1 species
AGAGUUUGAUCCUGGCUCAGGAUGAACGCUGGCGGCGUGCUUAAGACAUGCAAGUCGAGCGGUAAGGCUCUCACCCUGUUUGUUUAACUAGUUUGAACAUAGCGCGUGAGAGUACACGAGCGGCGGACGGCUGAGUAACGCGUAGGAACGCACCCCAAAGUGAGGGAUAAGCACCAGAAAUGGUGUCUAAUACCGCAUGUGAUCUUCGGAUUAAAGCUUUAUGCGCUUUGGGAGCGGCCUGCGUAUGAUUAGCUUGUUGGUGAGGUAAUGGCUCACCAAGGCAACGAUCAUUAACUGGUCUGAGAGGAUGAUCAGUCAGACUGGAACUGAGACACGGUCCAGACUCCUACGGGAGGCAGCAGUCGGGAAUUUUCCACAAUGGGCGCAAGCCUGAUGGAGCAACGCCGCGUGCAGGAUGAAGGCCCUCGGGUCGUAAACUGCUUUUAUGAGUGAAGAAUAUGACGGUAACUCAUGAAUAAGGGUCGGCUAACUACGUGCCAGCAGCCGCGGUCAUACGUAGGACCCAAGCGUUAUCCGGAGUGACUGGGCGUAAAGAGUCGCGUAGGCGGCUUAUUAAGCAGAUAGUGAAAUCAUGUGGCUCAACCAUCAUUGACUAUUAUCUGAACUGGUAGGCUCGAGAACGGUAGAGGUAGCUGGAAUUUCUAGUGUAGGAGUGAAAUCCGUAGAUAUUAGAAGGAACACCAAUGGCGUAGGCAGGCUACUGGACCAUUUCUGACGCUAAGGCACGAAAGCGUGGGGAGCGAACCGGAUUAGAUACCCGGGUAGUCCACGCCGUAAACGAUGGAUACUAGCUGUUGGAGGUAUCGACCCCUUCAGUAGCGAAGCUAACGCGUUAAGUAUCCCGCCUGUGGAGUACGGUCGCAAGACUAAAACAUAAAGGAAUUGACGGGGACCCGCACAAGCGGUGGAGCGUGUUCUUUAAUUCGAGGAUAAACGAAGAACCUUACCAACACUUGACAUCCUUGGAAUUUUGCCGAGAGGCGAGAGUGCUUUAUUGAGCCAAGUGACAGGUGCUGCAUGGCCGUCGUCAGCUCGUGUCGUGAGAUGUUUGGUUAAGUCCAUUAACGAGCGCAACCCUUAUAGUUAGUUGGAUUUUUCUAGCUAGACUGCCUCGGUAACGGGGAGGAAGGAGGGGAUGAGGUCAGGUCAUUAUUGCCCUUAUGUGUUGGGCUAGAAACGCGCUACAAUGGCUGGUACAAUGCGCAGCGAAAUCGCGAGAUGGAGCAAAUCGCAUCAAAACCAGUCCCAGUUCGGAUAAGAGGCUGAGACCCGCCUCUUUGAAGUCGGAAUCGCUAGUAAUCGCAGGUCAGCAUACUGCGGUGAAUACGUUCCCGGGUCUUGUACACACCGCCCGU